AUGGAGGAGGAAAAUUUAAAAGUGAAUUCGUGGGCGGCGACAAGGAAACAGCAGCCGUGGCCAAGCAGACCCCAGAGCCCUUCCCUUCUUGGCCCUCCCUCUGAAUCAUCGCGCUCCACUUGUGACGUCGCGGACGCCCGGCUCCGGCAGGCGUGGGGGGCCCGCGCGUCCCGGGAGCCCCGAGGCGGCAGCGCGCGAUUCCAUGCCGCGGUGCCGCGGGAAAGCCGGGGGCGGAGGCCUGGCUCAGGCAGAGCUCGGAUCCGGUGCCGAGCCGAGCGGGACCGCGCGUCGUCCGCGCUUCGCCUUCGCUCGCUUGACCUCCGCCGUCCUCUCCAGCCCUCGUCCUCUGGCCGCGCGUGCGGCCGCACGCCCAGCGCCUCUAGCUUAACCCCGCGCCCGGGCCGCGCCUCCUCCUCCCACUCCUCCUGCUCUCCUCCCCCGCCGCUUCCGUUUCUCGAGGGAAAGGCUGCUGCCUCCUGCUCUGUCCGCAUCCCCUGCUUAGCAUUUGUAGGACGAAGCAGCUGAUCUGACAGUUGUCCAGAGCAGUGGCCCAGCUGCAACAGGUAGAUGGCGCAGCUGUCAGUGGCCUCUUGGUCUCACCCUUGGCUUUGAGAGAUGCUUCUGAGUGUCCCUAGCUGCCGGCUACCUCCAGUGACCUACUUGAUGAGUGUAAAAUAAACAUGAUGGGACUAUAUUUAGAAAAAUAUUUACUUCCUUGCUGUUAAUUCUCUCUGCAUUUUGAAAGGUGGUUUUGUGAGGCGUGCAUAAUUAGUUGGUGUGUCCAGAGUGGUAGCUGGAAAAAAAUAUUUAACCUGGGUUUGGCCCUAUCAUGUAGACGGUUAGGCGCAUGUGUGAAAGGAAAUGCUUACUUUAGUGCAUCUAUGAAAAACACUUAUAAGAAACCACGGCGUGUUUUUUGGAGAUUUCUCGUUUUAAAGCUAUUUUUAAAGUGUUGAAUAAGCAGAAGUUUGCCCACUGUAUGAUGGUGUUCACUUCAAAAGAACAGUGGGUUCAAAGCAUGGACAGGCCACUUAAGUGGAUCCCAUCUGUUGAGUAAAAGAUUUUUUAGCCCUUUUACUCUGAUUCCUAGCUUUGAAACCAGAAAAGUUGAUAAGGAUCAGCCUUGCUCAACUUGAUAAUAGUAUAAGGAUGAAAGUAAUCCACUGAACUACUCUUGACUGGUGUAUUAGCUAAGUGAUCUCAUUCUUACCUUUUUCUUUAUUUUGAGACGGAGUCUCGCUCUGUCGCCCAGGCUGGGGUGCAGUGGCGCGAUCUUGGCUCACUGCAAACUCUGCCUCCCAGGUUCACGCCAUUCUCCUGCCUCAGCCUCUGAGUAGCUGGGACUACAGGCGUCUACCACCACGCCCGGCUGAUUUUUUUUUUUUUUUUUUUUUUUUG
rnacentral:lncRNA from 1 species